GGCCCGUUGGUCAAGCGGUUAAGACAUCGCCCUUUCACGGCGAAAACAGGGGUUCGAUUCCCCUACGGGUCACCA
rnacentral:tRNA from 1 species